rnacentral:rRNA from 1 species
CCUACGGGAGGCAGCAGUGAGGAAUAUUGGACAAUGGGCGCAAGCCUGAUCCAGCCAUGCCGCGUGCAGGAUGACGGUCCUAUGGAUUGUAAACUGCUUUUAUACGAGAAGAAACACUACUUCGUGAAGUAGCUUGACGGUAUCGUAAGAAUAAGGAUCGGCUAACUCCGUGCCAGCAGCCGCGGUAAUACGGAGGAUCCAAGCGUUAUCCGGAAUCAUUGGGUUUAAAGGGUCCGUAGGCGGUUUAAUAAGUCAGUGGUGAAAGCCCAUCGCUCAACGGUGGAACGGCCAUUGAUACUGUUAGACUUGAAUUAUUAGGAAGUAACUAGAAUAUGUAGUGUAGCGGUGAAAUGCUUAGAGAUUACAUGGAAUACCAAUUGCGAAGGCAGGUUACUACUAAUAUAUUGACGCUGAUGGACGAAAGCGUGGGUAGCGAACAGGAUUAGAUACCCUGGUAGUCCACGCCGUAAACGAUGGAUACUAGCUGUUGGAAGCAAUUUCAGUGGCUAAGCGAAAGUGAUAAGUAUCCCACCUGGGGAGUACGUUCGCAAGAAUGAAACUCAAAUGAGUAGAGNGNGAGAGAGCGAGGACGACACGAGGGAGGAGG